AUGUCUUCCUCCUCCGCCACCUUCCACUCAAGCCUAAACGGCCAGGUCACGGAGAAGCUCUCCCGCACAAAUUAUGUGCUAUGGCGGACACAGAUCACGCCCCAGCUGAGAGGGGCCGGUCUCUUUGGCUAUGCGGACGGCACCAUGCCGGAACCAGCUAGCCUUCUCGUCACCAAGGACAAGGACGGGAAGGAGACUUCUGAGCCCAACCCUCUCCACCCCAUCUGGGUCAAGGAGGACCAGCAGGUGCUCGGCUUCCUGCUAAGCAACCUCUCAAAAGAGGUGCUCGUCACGGUGACCGCGAUCACCACCGCGCACGCGCUCUGGACGGCGCUGGCGGGCAUGUUUUCGUCACAGUCCUUGAGCCGCGUCAACAACAUCCGCACCGCCCUCAUCAAUGCCCAGAAAGGUAAUCAAUCAGUCGCCGCCUACUUCGCCUCUAUGCGUGGCCUCGCUGAUGAGCUCGCCUCGGCCGGCAAAGCCAUCCAGGAUGACGAGCUGAUCUCCUACAUCAUCCAUGGGCUGGACAUGGACUACCAGCCUCUUGUCUCGGCCCUCGACGCCCGCGUCACGCCCGUCUCCCUCGACGAACUCUUUGCCAUGCUCAGCAACUUCGAUCAGCGCGUG
rnacentral:rRNA from 1 species